rnacentral:rRNA from 1 species
GACGAACCGUGCGAACGUUAUUCGGAAUCACUGGGCUUAAAGCGCGUGUAGGCGGGACGGCACGUCGGUCGCUGAAAGCCCCCGGCUCAACCGGGGAACGGGCGCCGAUACGACCGUCCUGGAGGGACGUAGGGGGGACCUGGAACAUCCGGUGGAGCGGUGAAAUGCGUUGAGAUCGGAAGGAACGCCCGUGGCGAAAGC